rnacentral:rRNA from 1 species
GCACAAGCGGUGGAGCAUGUGGAUUAAUUCGAUGCAACGCGAAGAACCUUACCUGGGUUUGACAUAUACCGGAAAGCCGUAAAGAUACGGCCCCCCUUGUGGUCGGUAUACAGGUGGUGCAUGGCUGUCGUCAGCUCGUGUCGUGAGAUGUUGGGUUAAGUCCCGCAACGAGCGCAACCCUUGUCUUAUGUUGCCAGCACGUAAUGGUGGGGACUCGUAAGAGACUGCCGGGGUCAACUCGGAGGAAGGUGGGGACGACGUCAAGUCAUCAUGCCCCUUAUGUCCAGGGCUUCACACAUGCUACAAUGGCCGGUACAGAGGGCUGCGAUACCGUGAGGUGGAGCGAAUCCCUUAAAGCCGGUCUCAGUUCGGAUCGGGGUCUGCAACUCGACCCCGUGAAGUCGGAGUCGCUAGUAAUCGCAGAUCAGCAACGCUGCGGUGAAUACGUUCCCGGGC